rnacentral:rRNA from 1 species
UACGUAGGGGGCAAGCGUUAUCCGGAUUUACUGGGUGUAAAGGGAGCGUAGACGGUUAUGUAAGUCUGGAGUGAAAGCCCGGGGCCCAACCCCGGGACUGCUUUGGAAACUGUGUAACUGGAGUACAGGAGGGGCAGGCGGAAUUCCUGGUGUAGCGGUGAAAUGCGUAGAUAUCAGGAGGAACACCGGUGGCGUAAGCGCUUUACUGGGCCGUAAUUGACGCUGAGGCACGAAGGCCAGGGGAGCGAAAGGG